ACCAAAAUACAACUUUUCCAUCAAUGUUUAUAAAUUUCUUAGACUCUGUUAUCCAUAUAUUGUCUCAUUCGGCGUGAGAAUACAAAAUCCAGAUAAAAAUGUGAAGUAAUUAGCUCUAGAUUUUGCCAGUCCUAAAAUCAAAAGGGAUCCUAGUAGAUUUCCCAAAUCUUCCUCUUCUCCAGAAAGAGAUAUCCCAUUAUUCAACUAGUAUCAUCUAUCUCUCACUUUUCAAUAUCAUCAAAAUUCAUUGCGUAACCCUAGUUUCUGCAAAUCUAGUCACAAAAUGGAAGGAGACGAACGCUCAGCUCCACCUCUCCGGAUUCCUGAUCGGAUAUUCGCGGUAGGCCAUGAACCACUCGGAAUUAGGGCAACACCAUACCACAAACUCCAUGCAAUUAGACAAAUACUCAACACUCUCGAUCCUGAAGAAGUAGAUACCAUCACAGGCUCACCGUUCGGGAAGCUUGUUGAGAUUGCUGAGAAGCCCUCUUUCUCCGGACGUUUUAGUUGAAUUAUCAUCUCCAAGAAGCUAUACCAUGUAGGUAUUCGAACUGAAUCUGCCAAAAAUAUUAUCAUUGCCGAAGCUAUCCAUUUCACAAACCAAACAACAUCAUUUACUGUCAGAUGGCCUGAACGGAGGACAAGAGAUUCAGUCAGGUGUACACACUGAAGGGUCAGGCAUCGUACGACAUAUCUGAGAAAAUGGACUCCCACAUUCAUCACGACGAUACCAUACUCCCAAACCAAACAACAUUAUUCACAGACGAUGUAAGUUCCACAAUAUCCUGCCAAAAAUUAUAUUAGCCGGUUAACUCACUGACCCUUAUUUAAUAUAUUUUUGGCUUGCACGGAUUGAAUGGAGAACAAGUGAUUCAGCCAAAGGUACACACCGAAGGUCAGACACCGUGCGACAGGCAUGAGGAGAUGGAAUAAUACCAGGUUUUGUCUCCACAGCGGCGGUGAUGAUUCUCGGGAAGGGCCGAUAGGAAGGCUGUGACCGGAGGUGAAUGGUGAGAAAAUAAUCAAUUGCAGCGAGACAAAGCCACCACCACAAGACAUUAGCAAACAGAAGAAAAAAAAAGAUCAAUAGGGAAUAUAAGAUUUAAUUAAAGAGUAAAGAAUCGAAUUUUGU